AGGAUGCUGUUCUGUAAUUGAUAAUCCACGAUUAAUUUUACUUAUUUUAUUAAUUUGUAUAUCGUCGUAGUUUGAAUAUUUUAAAAGAAUUUUUAAUAUUCAAAAUUUAUUAUAUAAAAAUAAAUCAGAUCAAGGUAUAGUUUAUAAAUAAGGAGAAAUGGGUUACAGUUAAUUUAUUAAUGGAUAUUUUUAUGAAAUUAAAUGUUUAAAAUGGAUUUGAAAGUAAUUUUAAGUAUUUACUUGAAAUGAUUAAAGCUCUAAAAUAUGUACAUAUUGCCCGUCGCUUUUGUUUUAAGAUGAAAUAAGUCGUAACAAAGUAGAUUUACUGGAAAGUGAAUCUAGAAG
rnacentral:rRNA from 1 species